CGCGUAUGGAUGGGGAGUCUGGCGGACCCUUAUGACCUGCAAUCCGCUGCGAGCAGGAUCCGAAACCGGGUGUAAAAUUAAGAGUAUGCUUUUCCCGCAGUCGCAAGUCAGUCGGGUCUUGCGCAAUAGGACCCUGUGAACCCCGUCAGGUUCGGAAGAAAGCAGCGGUAAGCGGAUCGUUCUAUGUGCCGCAAGGGUGCCUGAUUGUGCUUGUAGCUGCGGGAAUUCAUAUAUUUUUAAUAUGUACAACCGGGUAUGCG
rnacentral:SRP_RNA from 1 species